UUUCCGGUUGAUCCUGCCGGACCCCACUGCUAUCGGGAUAGGACUAAGACAUGCUAGUCGAGCGCUCUCUAGCCAUGAUGAGAGCGCGGCGCACAGCUCAGUAGCACGUGGCUAACCUGCCCUUGGGACAGGGACAACCCCGGGAAACUGGGGCUAAUCCCUGAUAGGCGAAGCGCUCUGGAAUGAGCUUUCACUCAAAAGGCGUUUAUGUCUUGCUCGUAGGCGCCGCCCAAGGAUGGGGCCGCGACCGAUCAGGUUGUUGGUGAGGUAAUGGCCCACCAAGCCUUUGACCGGUGCGGGCCGUGGGAGCGGGAGCCCGGAGAUGGGCACUGAGACAAGGGCCCAGGUCCUACGGGGCGCAGCAGUCGCGCAAACUUUGCAAUACACGAAAGUGUGACAGGGCUGUCCCGAGUGCCGCCCGCUGAGGGUGGCUUUUACCCAGUCUAGAAAGCUGGGAGAAUAAGGAGAGGGCAAGUCUGGUGUCAGCCGCCGCGGUAAUACCAGCUCUCCGAGUGGUGUGGAUGUUUAUUGGGCCUAAAGCAUCCGUAGCUUGCCAGGCAAGUCCCCUGUUAAACCCAGCGAAUCAAUCGUUGGUUUGCGGGGGAUACUGCUCGGCUAGGGGACGAGAGAGGCCGACGGUAUUUUCGGGGUAGGGGUGAAAUCCUAUAAUCCCGGGAAGACCACCAGUGGCGAAGGCUGUCGGCUAGAACGCGCCCGACGGUGAGGGAUGAAAGCUGGGGGAGCGAACCGGAUUAGAUACCCGGGUAGUCCCAGCUGUAAACUAUGCAGGCUAGGUGUUUGGGCGGCCACGUGCCGCUCUAGUGCCGCAGGGAAACUGUUAAGCCUGCCGCCUGGGGAGUACGGUCGCAAGAUUGAAACUUAAAGGAAUUGGCGGGGGAGCACCACAAGGGGUGAAGCUUGCGGUUUAAUUGGAUUCAACGCCGGA
rnacentral:rRNA from 1 species